rnacentral:tRNA from 2 species
GCCGUUGUAGCUCAGGGGUAGAGCGUUCCCUUGGUAAGGGAGAGGCCGAGAGUUCAAAUCUCUCCAAUGGCA